rnacentral:precursor_RNA from 15 species
UCAAAAGAAAUUUGAUGUUGCUUAUCUAAGCCUCAUCAAGUGGUUGUGAUAUGGAUACCCGACGCAUAUCACAGCCAGCUUUGAUGAGCUAGGAUAAUCAACGGAAAACAACAAGAGAAA